ACCUACGGGAGGCAGCAGUGGGGAAUAUUGGACAAUGGGCGCAAGCCUGAUCCAGCCAUGCCGCGUGAGUGAUGAAGGCCUUAGGGUUGUAAAGCUCUUUCGCUCGGGACGAUAAUGACGGUACCGAGAUAAGAAGCCCCGGCUAACUUCGUGCCAGCAGCCGCGGUAAUACGAAGGGGGCUAGCGUUGUUCGGAAUUACUGGGCGUAAAGCGCGUGUAGGCGGGUCUUUAAGUCAGGGGUGAAAUGCCAAGGCUCAACCUUGGAACUGCCUUUGAUACUGGAGAUCUUGAGUCCGGGAGAGGUGAGUGGAAUUGCGAGUGUAGAGGUGAAAUUCGUAGAUAUUCGCAAGAACACCAGUGGCGAAGGCGGCUCACUGGCCCGGAACUGACGCUGAGACGCGAAAGCGUGGGGAGCAAACAGGAUUAGAUACCCCCGUAGUCCC
rnacentral:rRNA from 1 species